GCUUUCCGUAGGUGAACCUGCGGAAGGAUCAUUGUCGACCCUGCAAAGCCGAACGACCCGUGAACACGUAAAAACAUCCGAGUGUCGGUUGGAUCAAGCGCUUGUUUGAUGCAAUCGACGCUUUGUCGAUGCGCAUUCACUCGAGUCCGUCUGGACCCUUGUGAAUGUGUCAUUGGCGCAUUAACAACCCCCGGCACAAUGUGUGCCAAGGAAAACUAAACUCUAGAAGGCUCGUCUUCAUGUUGCCCCCGUUCGCGGUGUGCUCAUGGGGUGUGGCUUCUUUAUUAUCACAAACGACUCUCGGCAACGGAUAUCUCGGCUCACGCAUCGAUGAAGAACGUAGCAAAAUGCGAUACUUGGUGUGAAUUGCAGAAUCCCGUGAACCAUCGAGUUUUUGAACGCAAGUUGCGCCCGAAGCCUUUUGGCCGAGGGCACGUCUG
rnacentral:rRNA from 1 species